rnacentral:lncRNA from 1 species
AAAAACUCUUCCCUGCUAAAAUUCUAAUAUGAAAAUAUCUAAAUAGUCUAUGGGUUUCAACCCCCAUCUUUCUCUCACUUAGCAGAAAAAACCUCUAAACGGGGGUCAAUCUGUAAUUAUUGAAAAAACUCCUACCUGACUAAAGAAACUUCCGGAAAUUGCAUCAUAGCCACAACGGGGCUCAAGCUGUAAUUAUUGGAAAAAACUCCUACCUGACUGAGAAACUUCCGGAAAUUGCAUUAUAGCCACAACGGGGGUCAAACUGUAAUUAUUGAAAAAACUCUUCCCUGCUGUUAGAACUUUCGUAAAUUGCAGCAACACCCACAAUUUUUAUCUAUCUUCACAUCCGACCGC